GAUGAACGCUGGCGGCGUGCCUAACACAUGCAAGUCGAGCGAUCUUCUUCGGAAGAGAGCGGCGGACGGGUGAGUAACGCGUGGGUAACCUGCCCUGUACACACGGAUAACAUACCGAAAGGUAUGCUAAUACGGGAUAACAUAAGAGAGUCGCAUGGCUAUCUUAUCAAAGCUUUUGCGGUACAGGAUGGACCCGCGUCUGAUUAGCUAGUUGGUAAGGUAACGGCUUACCAAGGCGACGAUUAGUAGCCGACCUGAGAGGGUGAUCGGCCACAUUGGAACUGAGACACGGUCCAAACUCCUACGGGAGGCAGCAGUGGGGAAUAUUGCACAAUGGGCGAAAGCCUGAUGCAGCAACGCCGCGUGAGCGAUGAAGGCCUUCGGGUCGUAAAGCUCUGUCCUCAAGGAAGAUAAUGACGGUACUUGAGGAGGAAGCCCCGGCUAACUACGUGCCAGCAGCCGCGGUAAUACGUAGGGGGCUAGCGUUAUCCGGAAUUACUGGGCGUAAAGGGUGCGUAGGCGGUCUUUCAAGUCAGAAGUGAAAGGCUACGGCUCAACCGUAGUAAGCUUUUGAAACUGUAAGACUUGGGUGCAGGAGAGGAGAGUGGAAUUCCUAGUGUAGCGGUGAAAUGCGUAGAUAUUAGGAGGAACACCAGUUGCGAAGGCG
rnacentral:rRNA from 1 species